AACAAAUUGUGGAACAAAGUCAACAGAAUUCAUUGUUAACGUAACAGAGUCUGGAGAUAAAACCAUCAUUACAGAUAAUGUUAAGAAAGGUGAAGCGAAGCUGACUACAUCUGAGGUCACUGUCACUGUUGGUGCCAUAAUUGGAUUCAUCAUCAUAAUGUUUAUAAUUUAUAGAAAGUACAAACCCACAAUCCCAUGUGGACACCAGAGACUAUAAAACAGUCAAAAAACAUGAUGACAACAGUGAAUAGUCAGAAUGUGCAUCUCAAAAGCACAGCAGGACUGUGUAGCAAAUGUGUUUCACAUCCAGUGCAGGUCAUGAACCUUUAAACAUGUUUAUUGUUGCACCAGUGUUGUUAAAGGUCUGUAUACAGAGGAAUUAUACCUGUCUGUGUUUGGCCAGCUCUGUGUACUCUUAUCGUAAGCUGUACGUUCUGUUUUAUAUUGAUUUCUGGGAAAUAACAGGAAUACUAUUGAUCUGUUGA